AUUGAACGCUGGCGGCAAGCCUAACACAUGCAAGUCGAACGAGUGGCGGACGGGUGAGUAAUGUCUGGGAAACUGCCUGCUGGAGGGGGAUAACUACUGGAAACGGUAGCUAAUACCGCAUACCAUCGGAUGUUCCCAGAUGGGAUUAGCUAGUAGGUGGGGUAAAGGCUCACCUAGGCGACGAUCCCUAGCUGGUCUGAGAGGAUGAACAGCAAAACUGGAACAGGGACACGGGCCAGACUCCGACGGGAGGCAGCAGUGGGGAAGAUUGCACAAUGGGCGCAAGCCGGAUGCAGCCAUGCCGAGUGUAUGAAGAAGGCCUGCGGGUUGUAAAGUACUUGCAGCGGGGAGGCGUUACCCGCAGAAGAAGCACCGGCUAACUCCGUGCCAGCAGCCGCGGUAAUAC
rnacentral:rRNA from 1 species